CUCCAAUUUUCGAUAAUUCUUCAUCCCCAAUUCAAUUUUCCACAGACUCCACAUACUCAACCAAUUGAAUUUCAAUCCAACAAGGAGAUUAGCUCCAUUUUCAAUUUCACCUAUUUCAUACGAGGAUUUGGCUUGAGGUUCAAUUUCAUUUGAGCAUAUGUGGGUGAUAUACAUCUUAGAUUCUUAAUUGAAGAGCUUAUAUGUUGUUUUGCGCCAGAUCUGAACUCUUAUGCAGGCGAACUUUUUGUUUUUUCACUAGUUUUCGAUAAGCUGAUAUUUGCAUUGCUGCUGCUUUUAAUUGAUGACCUGCUUUGUUUACUUCCGGUUUAUUGCUUUGUUUACUUCUGGUUUAUUGAUUUAGAUUUAAUUAAUUACGUUUUAAAGAUCUUCUGUGCUAGCUAUUUUGAUUUUGCAAUUUUUUCUUCCAAAUUGGGUCUAGUGCGUAUUAGGAUAUGUCAAUUAGGUAUAUGGCUCCCCCAAUUUGAUUGCCUAGAUCAGGUUUAACAGCAUUUGUUUUUUCGGUGGUAACCGCCUCGCCGCCUUCCCCACCACCUGCGCUCUUGAAAUGACAACAGUAUCAUGUGAAAUCAUCGUAAACAUACGCAAUCAGACAGUUACUCACCAAAAUUGCUACCCGGAGUGAUGAAGAGAUUGGCUCUGCACAGGUGUGAGGACUUAGAGAGCAAGGCAAUUUCUCCAGCAUCUAAGAUCACCAAAUAGAAGCGAACCAUCUUAAGGAUUCAAAGAUACCAAAGGUAGAAGCAUUUAAAGUUUCGGGAAAAAGCUGUAAUAAUUUCCUCUCGAGACAGAAUAAAUUUCUUCAUUUGCCAUCCAAGUGUAACAGAGUAACUCUUAGACAGGUUUUACUUUUCUACUAUCCAUUUAUGUCGUUGAAACAAGCUUGGGAAACAGGAAAAGAAAAAACGAAGUGAUAUCUUAGCUUGAGAUAGAGAUCUUCAUUCUGCUGGCUAAUAUGUAGGGUUAAUAAAUGUUUUAUUUUCCUGAAGUAGACCCUGUGUAGUUGGAAUCUGUUUAUAUUCUUAACAAGUGAUAUCUUUCACGUUCACUUUUGUAUAUCCAACAUCUAGUUUUGUAUAUUUCAACUGAUUGAAAGCUGCAAAAUCAAAGUGAAUAAUAAAAUUUAUGUUUUGUAUAUCCAA